rnacentral:rRNA from 1 species
AGAUGGCGACCGGCGCACGGGUGAGUAACACGUAUCCAACCUGCCGAUAACUCGGGGAUAGCCUUUCGAAAGAAAGAUUAAUACCCGAUGGUAUAAUUAGACCGCAUGGUCUUGUUAUUAAAGAAUUUCGGUUAUCGAUGGGGAUGCGUUCCAUUAGGCAGUUGGUGAGGUAACGGCUCACCAAACCUUCGAUGGAUAGGGGUUCUGAGAGGAAGGCCCCCACAUUGGAACUGAGACACGGUCCAA